CGCGCAUGCGUAGUGCCAUGUCUCGACACCAGGUGCUAGUUCGGGCGGAAGGUGCAGUAAUUCACCUUGGCACGCCCUCCAAGAUUGCAUGAAAUUUUACCGCGGCGGCAGUAUCCUGUCCUAGAAAGUAACCGGCUCCACGGUCUGUUCGGGAUGGGCGACCAUGGCGGGGAAAGAAAAAGCUCGAUCCUACUUUACGAUGUCGGGCGGCAGCUGCAACUUGGCCCAGGGUACAAGCAGUGCAGCCUCUCAUCUAGACAAUAGCGGAGUUCCCGAAGAUACCGGAGAAGCGGCGUGGAACCAACGAGAGAACCAGGCUGCGAACAGAAAGCAAGUGUGCAGUUUGUGCCGCUUCCUUUUCGCCCACAUGGGGGCCUUCCAAGAGCACACCGCCGACCACUUGCUUGGAAAAAAACAGAUCUGCCCCGUCUGUAGUAAACUGUUUAUGCUUGAGUACCUCCUCAAGCGCCACAUACCUACGCAUGGCCUAGAGUCCUUGGCGUGUGGCAUGUGCGGCAAAAAAAUUUACGACAAAGGAAUCCUCACGAAGCAUACGCUUCCAUGCAACGUAGGCACACAAGAUCGCGAAGCCGUUGAAGGGAAUCCUUAGCACGGCAGCACGCGCGACAAAACUGGACGAGCACGUCGUGAAGAACCGUCGCACGUGACCGUGGCAUCGACAUCGGUGCAGCCGGAUGUUCACAAGGCGAGGACUGACUUCUCUGGAUGUCGCCGUGGCCCCAAGAUGUGUCGUGUGCCUUCGCAGAGGAACUUGCGGUCUCGGCCCCAACUUUUCCAGCUAUGCACUAACUUCUUGACAAACAAAGCAGGGCUAAUCUCAUUCUUACUGACUACGGCUGAAGAAUGCCCGCGAAUAAAAUUCUCAGUGGUUAUCUCGAGGAAUACUGUG